rnacentral:rRNA from 1 species
CCACCUGACCCCAUGCCGAACUCAGAAGUGAAACGCCGUAGCGCCGAUGGUAGUGUGGGGUCUCCCCAUGUGAGAGUAGGGAACUGCCAGAC